AGCAUGGCUGUCCUGGUGCUGUUGCUCUGCCUGGUGACAUUUCCAAGCUGUGUCCUGUCCCAGGUGCAGCUGAAGGAGUCAGGACCUGGCCUGGUGCAGCCCUCACAGACCCUGUCCCUCACCUGCACUGUCUCUGGGUUCUCACUUACCAGCUAUGAUGUACACUGGAUUCGACAGACUCUAGGAAAAGGGCUGGAGUGGAUUGGAGCAAUAGCGAGUGGUGGAAGCACACAUUAUAAUUCAGGUCUCAAAUCCCGACUGAGCAUCAGCAGGGACACCGCCAAGAGCCAACAUUUCUUAAAAAUGAACAGUCUGCAAACUGAUGACACAGCCAUCUACUUCUGUGCCAAAGACACAGUGAGAGUGGCCCAGUGUGAACUUGCACAAAAUCUUCCCUACGGGGAUUCUCAGGACCAGCAGAGGGCAAUGAGGAUCAACAAGUCCUUUCAAAGAUCACUUCAGAAUCUAGGAAAUUCUGGUCUAUGCUGUUUGAGCAUGGGUUUUUAG